AUUGAACGCUGGCGGCAUGCCUUACACAUGCAAGUCGAACGGCAGCGGGGACUUCGGUCCGCCGGCGAGUGGCGAACGGGUGAGUAAUGUAUCGGAACGUACCAUUCAGUGGGGGAUAACUAUCCGAAAGGAUAGCUAAUACCGCAUAUUCUGUGAGCAGGAAAGCAGGGGAUCGCAAGACCUUGCGCUGAUUGAGCGGCCGAUAUCAGAUUAGCUAGUUGGUGAGGUAAAGGCUCACCAAGGCGACGAUCUGUAGCGGGUCUGAGAGGAUGAUCCGCCACACUGCAACUGAGACACGGUCCAGACUCCUACGGGAGGCAGCAGUGGGGAAUUUUGGACAAUGGGGGCAACCCUGAUCCAGCCAUGCCGCGUGAGUGAAGAAGGCCUUCGGGUUGUAAAGCUCUUUCGGCCGGGAAAAAAUCGCAUGGGUUAAUACCCUGUGUGGAUGAUGGUACCGGAAUAAGAAGCACCGGCUAACUACGUGCCAGCCGCCGCAGUAACAC
rnacentral:rRNA from 1 species